UGAUGAAAAACGAGCAGUAAAACCUCUACAGGCUUGUAGCUCAGGUGGUUAGAGCGCACCCCUGAUAAGGGUGAGGUCGGUGGUUCAAGUCCACUCAGGCCUACCAGAUUCGCUCCCGUGCUUUGUUGUGGCAAAGCUCGCAUACUUCAGUAUGCUUCGCUUCACCACGCCGCGCCCGGAAACGAAUCAAAGGUAAGAGGUUCUGACUACACGAUGGGGCUAUAGCUCAGCUGGGAGAGCGCCUGCUUUGCACGCAGGAGGUCUGCGGUUCGAUCCCGCAUAGCUCCACCAUCUCGUGAGUGUUUACGAAAAAAUACUUCAGAGUGUACCUGAAAGGGUUCACUGCGAAGUUUUGCUCUUUAAAAAUCUGGAUCAAGCUGAAAAUUGAAACACAGAACAACGAAAGUUGUUCGUGAGUCUCUCAAAUUUGAGGGAAAGGCGAAAAGAACCCCGGCGAGGGGAGUGAAAAAGAACCUGAAACCGUGUACGUACAAGCAGUGGGAGCCCCACCACUAAGCCAGUGGUGAACUCCACAUACGCAUCCUUUGCUGAGGAUACGGUUAACGGAGCGCAAGCGACGUUCAACCGCAAAAGAAGCAGAGGGGGCUUAGUGGUGGGGUGACUGCGUACCUUUUGUAUAAUGGGUCAGCGACUUAUAUUCUGUAGCAAGGUUAACCGUAUAGGGGAGCCGGAGGGAAACCGAGUCUUAAUUGGGCGUUAAGUUGCAGGGUAUAGACCCGAAACCCGGUGAUCUAGCCAUGGGCAGGUUAGGGAAACCGAGUCUUAAUUGGGCGUUAAGUUGCAGGGUAUAGACCCGAAACCCGGUGAUCUAGCCAUGGGCAGGUUGAAGGUUGGGUAACACUAACUGGAGGACCGAACCGACUAAUGUUGAAAAAUUAGCGGAUGACCUGUGGCUGGGGGUGAAAGGCCAAUCAAACCGGGAGAUAGCUGGUUCUCCCCGAAAGCUAUUUAGGUAGCGCCUCGUGAAUUCAUCUCCGGGGGUAGAGCACUGUUUCGGCUAGGGGGCCAUCCCGGCUUACCAACCCGAUGCAAACUGCGAAUACCGGAGAAUGUUAUCACGGGAGACACACGGCGGGUGCUAACGUCCGUCGUGAAGAGGGAAACAACCCAGACCGCCAGCUAAGGUCCCAAAGUCAUGGUUAAGUGGGAAACGAUGUGGGAAGGCCCAGACAGCCAGGAUGUUGGCUUAGAAGCAGCCAUCAUUUAAAGAAAGCGUAAUAGCUCACUGGUCGAGUCGGCCUGCGCGGAAGAUGUAACGGGGCUAAACCAUGCACCGAAGCUGCGGCAGCGAACGUAUCACUUAAAGCGAUUCAGCGGGUUACGAUUGACGGAGCGAAGCGACGUCAAAGCGUAUACAAAGUCGAGUCGGUUUAAGGAUACGUUCGUUGGGUAGGGGAGCGUUCUGUAAGCCUGUGAAGGUGUGUCGUGAGGCAUGCUGGAGGUAUCAGAAGUGCGAAUGCUGUUGGGUAGGGGAGCGUUCUGUAAGCCUGUGAAGGUGGCCUGUGAGGGUUGCUGGAGGUAUCAGAAGUGCGAAUGCUGACAUAAGUAACGAUAAAGCGGGUGAAAAGCCCGCUCGCCGGAAGACCAAGGGUUCCUGUCCAACGUUAAUCGGGGCAGGGUGAGUCGACCCCUAAGGCGAGGCCGAAAGGCGUAGUCGAUGGGAAACGGGUUAAUAUUCCCGUACUUGGUGUUACUGCGAAGGGGGGACGGAGAAGGCUAUGUUGGCCGGGCGACGGUUGUCCCGGUUUAAGCGUGUAGGUGUGUGUUCCAGGUAAAUCCGGUUCACUUUAACACUGAGGCGUGAUGACGAGGCACUACGGUGCUGAAGCAACAAAUGCCCUGCUUCCAGGAAAAGCCUCUAAGCAUCAGGUAACAUCAAAUCGUACCCCAAACCGACACAGGUGGUCAGGUAGAGAAUACCAAGGCGCUUGAGAGAACUCGGGUGAAGGAACUAGGCAAAAUGGUGCCGUAACUUCGGGAGAAGGCACGCUGACACGUAGGUGAAGUGAUUUACUCACGGAGCUGAAGUCAGUCGAAGAUACCAGCUGGCUGCAACUGUUUAUUAAAAACACAGCACUGUGCAAACACGAAAGUGGACGUAUACGGUGUGACGCCUGCCCGGUGCCGGAAGGUUAAUUGAUGGGGUCAGCGCAAGCGAAGCUCCUGAUCGAAGCCCCGGUAAACGGCGGCCGUAACUAUAACGGUCCUAAGGUAGCGAAAUUCCUUGUCGGGUAAGUUCCGACCUGCACGAAUGGCGUAAUGAUGGCCAGGCUGUCUCCACCCGAGACUCAGUGAAAUUGAACUCGCUGUGAAGAUGCAGUGUACCCGCGGCAAGACGGAAAGACCCCGUGAACCUUUACUAUAGCUUGACACUGAACAUUGAGCCUUGAUGUGUAGGAUAGGUGGGAGGCUUUGAAGUGUGGACGCCAGUCUGCAUGGAGCCGACCUUGAAAUACCACCCUUUAAUGUUUGAUGUUCUAACGUGGACCCGUAAUCCGGGUUGCGGACAGUGUCUGGUGGGUAGUUUGACUGGGGCGGUCUCCUCCUAAAGAGUAACGGAGGAGCACGAAGGUUGGCUAAUCCUGGUCGGACAUCAGGAGGUUAGUGCAAUGGCAUAAGCCAGCUUGACUGCGAGCGUGACGGCGCGAGCAGGUGCGAAAGCAGGUCAUAGUGAUCCGGUGGUUCUGAAUGGAAGGGCCAUCGCUCAACGGAUAAAAGGUACUCCGGGGAUAACAGGCUGAUACCGCCCAAGAGUUCAUAUCGACGGCGGUGUUUGGCACCUCGAUGUCGGCUCAUCACAUCCUGGGGCUGAAGUAGGUCCCAAGGGUAUGGCUGUUCGCCAUUUAAAGUGGUACGCGAGCUGGGUUUAGAACGUCGUGAGACAGUUCGGUCCCUAUCUGCCGUGGGCGCUGGAGAACUGAGGGGGGCUGCUCCUAGUACGAGAGGACCGGAGUGGACGCAUCACUGGUGUUCGGGUUGUCAUGCCAAUGGCACUGCCCGGUAGCUAAAUGCGGAAGAGAUAAGUGCUGAAAGCAUCUAAGCACGAAACUUGCCCCGAGAUGAGUUCUCCCUGAGACUUCAGAAGUGAAACGCCGUAGCGCCGAUGGUAGUGUGGGGUCUCCCCAUGCGAGAGUAGGGAACUGCCAGGCAUCAAAUUAGAAGUAUGGCAUU
rnacentral:rRNA from 1 species